GGCUCCGGGUCUGGCUCCGGUUCCCCAUCCUCCGUCGCGGCUACCGUGGCAGCCUCUUCUCCUUGUUCCUCGACCGAAGCUUCGGCCGCCUCGGCAGCGACCAGUUCAGGCUCGGGCUCCGACUCGGGUUCGGGUUCCGGCUCCGGCUCGCCACCGCCGCACGGUCCGCGAAACUCGCCCAGGAAUAGCUCCAGGAAGCGCCGGUUUCCUGGAUGGAUACUUGGGCCUCACGUGGUUAAGAAUGGACUGAGGCAUCUCCAACUCCAGCUGCUGGUUCCCACUCGGACUGCAUUCACCUCAGUUUCCGUAUGUCCUCUCUUCUGUUGGUGAGACUCAUUGAAGGAGUCGUUCCAGGGAGGAAGCCUCAGACGCCCUGCACCUGUAGGUUCCUUUGGGUACGUUCUCAAUAGAAUUUGUAAAGAAAUGUUAUCCUCCUUUCUCAAAUAAACAAAAUUAAGGUAAU